rnacentral:ncRNA from 1 species
UACCUGAUUGAUUCUGUCAGCGCGAUAUGCUCAAGUAAAAGAUUAAGCCAUGCAUGCUUUGAUUCAUAAAUGAAAUUGCGUACGGCUCAUUAGAGCAGAUAUCACCUUUCUCGGAAUCCUGAAAAGGAUAACUGCGGAAAUUCUGGAGCUAAUACAUGCGACUAUACUCCAACGCAAGGCGGGGUGCAAUUAUUAGAACAGACCAAACGUUUUCGGACGUUGUUUGUUGACUCUGAAUACCGUCGUUUACUGUCAGUUUCGACUGACUCUAUCCGAGAAGGGUGUCUGCCCUUUCAACUAGAUGGUAAUCUAUUGGACUACCAUGGUUGUUACGGGUAACGGAGAAUUAGGGUUCGACUCCGGAGAGGGAGCCUUAGAAACGGCUACCACGUCCAAGGAAGGCAGCAGGCGCGAAACUUAUCCACUGUUGAGUAUGAGAUAGUGACUAAAAAUAUAAAGACUCAUCCUUUUGGAUGAGUUAUUUCAAUGAGUUGAAUAUAAAUUAUUCUUCGAGUAGCAAGGAGAGGGCAAGUCUGGUGCCAGCAGCCGCGGUAAUUCCAGCUCUCCUAGUGUAUCUCGUUAUUGCUGCGGUUAAAAAGCUCGUAGUUGGAUCUAGGUUACGUGCCGCAGUUCGCAAUUUGCGUUAACUGUGGUCGUGACUUCUAAUUUGCUGGUUUGAGGUUGGGUUCGCCCUUCAACUGCCAGCAGGUUUACCUUGGAUAAAUCACAGUGCUCAUACAGGCGCUUUGCUUUGAAUAGCUCAUCAUGGAAUAAUGAAACAGGACUUCCGUUCUUUUUGUUGG